GAACAUUAUUCGUCGUUCCAGACCAUAAAAUAAACAAUCGUUCCCUCCAGUUGCUUUCUGAAGCAGAUCUACAAGAAAUCGAAAUUACUGCUGUGGGACCACGGAAAACCAUACUUGCAACUAUUGGUAAAUUACGUGCAGCUCAAUCACAAGCUGGCGAAAACGAAGGACCCCGUGACGAGGUAUGUAACUGCUGUCUCAAUAAUGUCCCAGGAUUUUCGAUAAUUGUUCGUUUUCAUUGCAGAACCUAAGAGCCAUUUUAGUAAACGAUGUAGCAUUUCGGAAUAUCGUUUACAAUGAGCUGGACCAAGACAUCGUUCCUAAAGUAAAGCAUUUGCACGAGAUGGUAUGAAUUUUGUGCGGACGGUUUGAAAAGGCGAUUUACGACCAGCAAGGAUAUCCAUCCACAAAUGAUCAAUGGCAAUUGGCCAAACAAAUCGUACGAGCAUUUCCUCAAUUGAAAACCACAAGGAUCAAUGAGAAUGCCCCGGACGAGCCCGCAUUUUUCUGGUGGCAGAGCGGCAAUAAUAGUGGCGAUCAUUCCGGCUACAUUUAUCACCGAGUUCGAAAUAUCGCAAAGCGUGUGCCAAAAGAGCUGAGGAAAU